UACGGGGGGGGCAAGCGUUGUUCGGAAUUACUGGGCGUAAAGGGCGCGUAGGCGGCCUGGCAAGUGGAAGGUGAAAUCCCUCGGCUUAACCGAGGAACUGCCCUCCAAACUGCUUGGCUUGAGACCGGGAGAGGUGAGUGGAAUUCCCAGUGUAGCGGUGAAAUGCGUAGAUAUUGGGAGGAACACCAGUGGCGAAGGCGGCUCACUGGACCGGUACUGACGCUGAGGCGCGAAAGCGUGGGGAGCGAACAGG
rnacentral:rRNA from 1 species